CCUGGCGCCGCCACUGCUUUUUAUGUUGUGAAGCGCUAUUCUAACGAAUAGCGCCUCACAACAUAAAAAGCAGUGGCGGCGCCAGGGGGGGGG
rnacentral:miRNA from 1 species